UCCUCUGCAAGAUAUAUAUAUAUGUGUGUGUGUGUGUAUAUACAGACACACAUAUAUACCUCCUACAUAUAUAUACAUAUAUACACACACACAUAUAUAUAUAUCUUACAGAGGUAU
rnacentral:miRNA from 14 species